rnacentral:sRNA from 1 species
UUGACCCUGCCAUGCUCGUGUGAUGAAACAAAGUCCUUGAACCGUAAUAAACAAAGAAGCGGGGCAUAGGCGCGAUGGUGGCCGACAGGCCUUCGCUGGACGUCGCAAGCCACCGGCCGGUCCCACUGUUUCAACCUGCAGUUCAAAGGAACUGUUCAGCCACGGCAAUGGCGGGGUUUCU